rnacentral:rRNA from 1 species
AUUGAACGCUGGCGGCAUGCCUUACACAUGCAAGUCGAACGGCAGCACGGGUGCUUGCACCUGGUGGCGAGUGGCGAACGGGUGAGUAAUACAUCGGAACAUGUCCUGUAGUGGGGGAUAGCCCGGCGAAAGCCGGAUUAGUACCGCAUACGAUCUACGGAUGAAAGCGGGGGACCUUCGGGCCUCGCGCUAUAGGGUUGGCCGAUAGCUGAUUAGCUAGUUGGGGGGGUAAAGGCCUACCAAGGCGACGAUCAGUAGCGGGUCUGAGAGGACGACCAGCCACACUGGGACUGAGACACGGCCCAGACUCCUACGGGAGGCAGCAGUGGGGAAUUUUGGACAAUGGGCGAAAGCCUGAUCCAGCAAUGCCGCGUGUGUGAAGAAGGCCUUCGGGUUGUAAAGCACUUUUGUCCGGAAAGAAAUCCUUGGCUCUAAUACAGUCGGGGGAUGACGGUACCGGAAGAAUAAGCACCGGCUAACUACGUG